GAAGGCCAAACGGGAUUAGGACAUCGGGUGGCGCCGGCGGGCGCUGACGUUGUCGUGAACGCUGAACCAAUGUCCGUAUUGGUGACGGCAGCAAGGCGCGAUAAGAUGAACCGUCGGCGCUGCAUUGAUCCGUAAUUGGCGUUGGAUCCCCUGCCUAUAAACUGAAGUUACUGAACUCCCAUCUCCAAUCGCUAGCCGCAUGGCCGCGUGGGCGUGGUCGCAUGGGCUUGAUGUUUGCUCG
rnacentral:lncRNA from 1 species